UACGUAGGUGACAAGCGUUGUCCGGAUUUACUGGGCGUAAAGAGCGCGCAGGCGGUCGAUCAAGUCGAGUGUGAAAGCCCCCGGCUCAACUGGGGAGGGUCAUUCGAUACUGAUCGACUCGAAGGCAGGAGAGGGUAGUGGAAUUCCCGGUGUAGUGGUGAAAUGCGUAGAUAUCGGGAGGAACACCAGUGGCGAAGGCGACUACCUGGCCUGUUCUUGACGCUGAGGCGCGAAAGCUAGGGUAGCAAACGGG
rnacentral:rRNA from 1 species